rnacentral:rRNA from 1 species
UACGGAGGGUGCAAGCGUUACCCGGAAUCAUUGGGCGUAAAGCGUCCGCAGGCGGUUUGUUAAGUUGGAUGUUAAAGUUUGAGGCCCAACCUCAAAAAUGUGUCCAAAACUGAUAAACUAGAGCCUCUUAGAGGUACGUGGAAUUCUGUGUGUAGGGGUAAAAUCCGUAGAUACACAGAGGAACACCAAAAGCGAAGGCAGCGUACUGGAAGAGUGCUGACGCUCAUGGACAAAAGCGUGGGGAGCAAACGGG